rnacentral:rRNA from 1 species
UACAGAGGAUGCAAGCGUUAUCCGGAAUGAUUGGGCGUAAAGCGUCUGUAGGUGGCUUUUUAAGUCCGCCGUCAAAUCCCAGGGCUCAACUCUGGACAGGCGGUGGAAACUACCAAGCUGGAGUACGGUAGGGGCAGAGGGAAUUUCCGGUGGAGCGGUGAAAUGCGUAGAUAUUGCCAGGAACACCAAUGGCGAAGGCAGCUUGCUGGGCCUUUUCUGACGCUGAGGCACGAAAGCGUGGGGAGCGAACAGG